UCCCUGGUAGUAUAUCGGUUAGUACACGCGCCUGUCAUUGCGAUGAUCGCAACGGUGCGCGCGAAAGCGGGGUUCGACUCCCCGCCAGGGAG